rnacentral:rRNA from 1 species
GAUGAACGCUAGCGGCAGGCUUAAUACAUGCAAGUCGUACGGGAUCCGAGGUAGCAAUACUUUGGUGAGAGUGGCGCACGGGUGCGUAACACGUAUGCAACCUACCUUUAACCGGGACACAACCUCGAGAAAUUGAGGCUAAUAUCCCAUAACACUGCGAGAUGGCAUCAUUUUGCAGUUAAAACUCCGGUGGUUAUUGAUGGGCAUGCGCGACAUUAGCUAGUUGGUGAGGUAACGGCCCACCAAGGCUACGAUGUCUAGGGGUUCUGAGAGGAUUAUCCCCCACACUGGUACUGAGACACGGACCAGACUCCUACGGGAGGCUG